rnacentral:rRNA from 1 species
ACGAAGGGGGCUAGCGUUGCUCGGAAUCACUGGGCGUAAAGCGCACGUAGGUGGACUCUUAAGUCGGUGGUGAAAUCCUGGAGCUCAACUCCAGAACUGCCUUCGAUACUGAGAGUCUCGAGUCCGGGAGAGGUGAGUGGAACUGCGAGUGUAGAGGUGAAAUUCGUAGAUAUUCGCAAGAACACCAGUGGCGAAGGCGGCUUGCCAGAACGCGCUCGACGGUGAGGGAUGAAAGCUGGGGGAGCAAACCGGA